UCCUCGCGCCCCCUCCCUUCGCGGUCACGGAGGUCUGGGGCCGGUGUCACCGGCUACCUGGUGGGAGGGGGCGCCCAGCGGGGUGUAGAGUCGGGGUCGCACCCGGAAACCCGCCGAACGCCCAUCUCCCACCUUCCCAAAGGCGUUUCGCGUGUUCUUUUUUCCCAGCCCGAGGUCGUUUUGCGUGGACACAGUAAGAGGCCGGCCGGCCCGCCCGAGGUCUACGGAGCAACAGGCGGUCAGGGCUCCGCCAGGGAAUCUGGAGAAGCAGGGGGCCACCUUCCCCAUCUUCCGAGCCACUCCCCGUUCAGAGUUACAUCGCGGGGUCUCGGGCCUUCAGGGGUCACUAAGCCAUGAGAUGGCCUCACCCUGAGGAAGGGGGUGGGCGGGCAGAAUGUUCCCAAGCCUGCUGGGUCCGGGAGCUCAUGGAGGAAAACGCAAGGUGCUGACCCAGCCUCCCAAAGAGUUUCACAGCAUUGUAAAUAUGCAAGGCUUGGAAAAAGAUUGAUUGAUACCUUCUACAGGGUGCUCUCAAUGGUAAGAAUCGGCCCCACCUGAAUGACCCCAACACCUAGAACGCCAAUAAUCCAACACAGAAGGAAGGCUCCCUCUGGCCCCCUUUCUCAUCAGAGCCCUGGGCCAUCAGACCCAGAAACUGAAGCUGAAACAGAACCAGAUCUACAAUCAGUUCUAGAGAAACAGCGGGAGGGCCAGGGAGCCUGUGCUCUCUCAAGACACCCUAAACAAUUGCUUCCUUGCAGCCUGGGCUCAAAGUGAAUUGAGCAGUGUCCUCUUCUGGUCGUGUGGCUACAAGAGAAGCUUGCUUCCUGAAAACAGGGAUGAUGGUAGGUGCUUCUCAAGGCUGGACGAUCAAAGGAAAUGAAAUGAAAUGAGAUUAAAAAGUGUCCGACAGAUGGCAGCUAUCACUAUUACCACCGUUAUUUUCAUUGGAAACGAAUGCCCUGAUGAAUCCGUGAGCUGGCCCGGAGACGCAGUCACGGAGAGGCUGCCUGUAGCAAACCUGGCUCCUUCUGCACCACUUGUAAGGAUGAAGCAAGUGACUCUCUCAAGGAUUCUA